GGCUGAGGCAAAGACAGCCGCUGGGUAUUGCAGGUCAGGAGCGGGGAGAAGGCACAUGUGCUUGCAGCCUUCCUCCCGUCCCCUCCCCUCCCCCAAGCAGUCACCUGGAGCCUGGAGGAGAAGCCGAGGGAGCUUCUGGUCUGUGGGAGACAGGAAUCUCUACAGUGGACCUCACUCACCUGAACAGCUGCUGGGGCUUUGGUGUGGUUUUCGGGGUGUUGCUGUUUGAGGAUGCACAUUACAGAACAAUUCAGGAGGCAAAGAUGCAUGUGAACGGAAUCUAAUGAAAUAGGAGACAAAGGCUUUUAGGAUAGAAAUACUGAGUUUAAUGAGAGUGACAGGCCUCCCUUCGAGAUUCAACAGUUGGACUUGAUCUUUCAUUCAGGGAAGAACUCAACCCUGGUGUGAGAUUGGAAGGACUAGUACCUGCAAGACUCCAUAGGACUGAUGGGUGACUUCUUCUAUGUUUAGUAUGCACAUAGGUCUUUUAUUGUUUUAUAUGUUUUUUCCCUCAUGCUUUUGUCCCUAAAUCAGCAUACUCUGUUUUGAAAGAGCUGUUUGGAGAGAAGUCAAAGAGCAGAAAGUAAAUGUUGGUCAGAUCUGCUUUGAUAAAAGAAUGAAGGACCAAGGGACUGCAGCCUAAAAAUCCUGGUCAGAAGAGAGAGGAACUUGGGUCUCCUCCAAGACAGAUGUGAUGUCCAAAGUCCUGAGCAGACCAUGGGCCAGCGUAACUGAAUCUCUGAUGCCAUCAGUCAAAAGACUGAUCAGAUUUCUAUAAUAGAGAAAGAUUUUACAUUAGCUUGAUAAAUGCAUCUGCUUCAGUUUUGCAAAAAAUCAAUCAUGUCCAGUAAAAAAUAAGAUUUUACAUUUAUAGUAGUUACUCUAUGCUACAACAAUCAUAUUUGUGCUUCAGCAUCAUUCUGAUAACAUCUUUGUGAUAUAUAUUUCUACCUAAUUACCUUGGAUGAACCAUAGAAAUAAAAACCAACUACAUAACAAAUAUAAAACGGUAAUUUUAUAAAUCAAACCGGAAUUGUUUAGUAUAGCAGUUGCCAGCUAGUCAUGCCAUAGUUAAGACUAUAUUGGCAACUUCAUCAUAAUUCUCUGAUUUCAGAGAAAAAUUCUCUGUGGUACAAUUAUUUUUUCCUGAUAGACCAUAAACAGGACCUCUUCUCACAGAGUUUAUUACUAAGAAAUAUUCAUCAACAUUUGUUAGUUGUGUAAAGCAAUGCCUUAAGUCUACUUACCAAAGAGCUGCUGUUAAAUUUUUGGGAACACAGCAGUAGUAUUAAGUGAUUUAAUAGCUUAAUUAUCUUGCUUUCAUUUCUAGGGGUAAUUCAGUCUUCUGAAACACAUUCUCAAAAUAAAACAAUGAGAUUCAGUUUGCUUGGCAAUUUGAUAAUAAAAUACUUUGGAAGCCUCAGAACACAAUAUAUGUUUUCUCUAAGGUAUAGAGGCUAAGGAAGCAUAACUUAAAAUUCUUAAGAAUUAGGAGUGAUGAUUAUCAUUUGACUUGAGAUUUUCAAGUAUUUUUUUGUCAACACAUUGAAAUUUAACUGUAUAGUAUUGUACUACAGCUUUUAUUCUCUUAGGUAUUGUACCACUGGAAAAAGCAAA